UACGUAGGGGGCUAGCGUUGUCCGGAAUCAUUGGGCGUAAAGAGCGUGUAGGCGGUCUGGUAGGUCCGUUGUGAAAACUCGAGGCUCAACCUCGAGACGCCGAUGGAAACCCUCAGACUAGAGUCCGGAAGAGGAGAGUGGAAUUCCUGGUGUAGCGGUGGAAUGCGUAGAUAUCAGGAGGAACACCAAUGGCGAAGGCAGAUCUCUGGGCCGUAACUGACGCUGAGGAGCGAAAGCAUGGGGAGCGAACAGG
rnacentral:rRNA from 1 species